rnacentral:rRNA from 1 species
AUGCACGCUGGCGGCGUGCCUAACACAUGCAGGUCGAACGGAGUCCAGCCUUUAAGACCUUCGGGUCAAAGGGGGGAAGACUGAGUGGCGGACGGGUGAGUAACACGUGGGCAACCUGGCUCAUAGAGGGGGAUAACAGAGAGAAAUUUCUGCUAAUACCGCAUAAGCACACACUGCCGCAUGGCAGAGGGUGAAAAGAGAAUCGCUAUGAGAUGGACCCGCGUCUGAUUAGCCAGUUGGCAGGGUAAGAGCCUACCAAAGCGACGAUCAGUAGCCGAUCUGAGAGGAUGAACGGCCACAUUGGGACUGAGACACGGCCCAAACUCCUACGGGAGGCAGCAGUGGGGGAUAUUGCACAAUGGGGGGAACCCUGAUGCAGCGACGCCGCGUGAGUGAAGAAGUAUUUCGGUAUGUAAAGCUCUAUCAGCAGGGAAGAUAAUGACAGUACCUGAAUAAGAAGCCCCGGCUAACUACGUG